rnacentral:rRNA from 1 species
AUUGAACGCUGGCGGAAUGCUUUACACAUGCAAGUCGAACGGCAGCAUAGGUGCUUGCACCUGAUGGCGAGUGGCGAACGGGUGAGUAAUACAUCGGAACGUGCCCAGUCGUGGGGGAUAACGUAGCGAAAGUUACGCUAAUACCGCAUACGAUCUAAGGAUGAAAGCGGGGGACGGUAAGGCCACGCGCGAUUGGAGCGGGCGAUGUCAGAUGAGGUAGUUGGUGAGGUAAAGGCUCACCAAGCCGACGAUCUGUAGCUGGUCUGAGAGGACGACCAGCCACACUGGGACUGAGACACGGCCCAGACUCCUACGGGAGGCAGCAGUGGGGAAUUUUGGACAAUGGACGCAAGUCUGAUCCAGCCAUUCCGCGUGCAGGACGAAGGCCUUCGGGUUGUAAACUGCUUUUGUACGGAACGAAAAAGCUCUUACUAAUACUAGGAGUCCAUGACGGUACCGUAAGAAUAAGCACCGGCUAACUACGUGCCAGCAGCCGCAGUAA